UACGUAGGGUGCGAGCGUUGUCCGGAAUUAUUGGGCGUAAAGAGCGUGUAGGCGGCCAGACAGGUCCGUUGUGAAAACUCGAGGCUCAACCUCGAGACGCCGAUGGAAACCGUCUGGCUAGAGUCCGGAAGAGGAGAGUGGAAUUCCUGGUGUAGCGGUGAAAUUCGUAGAUAUUGGGAAGAACACCGGUGGCGAAGGCGGCGACCUGGUCCGUGACUGACGCUGAGACGCGAAAGCGUGGGGAGCGAACAGG
rnacentral:rRNA from 1 species